rnacentral:rRNA from 1 species
AGGAUGAACGCUGGCGGCGUGCCUAAUACAUGCAAGUCGAGCGGUAAGGUCCCUUCGGGGAUACACGAGCGGCGGACGGCUGAGUAACGCGUAGGAACGUACCCCAAAGUGAGGGAUAAGCUCUGGAAACAGAGUCUAAUACCGCAUGUGGUCCAAGGAUUAAAGCUUCGGCGCUUUGGGAACGGCCUGCGUCCGAUUAGCUAGUUGGUGAGGUAAAGGCUUACCAAGGCGACGAUCGGUAGCUGGUCUGAGAGGAUGAUCAGCCAGACUGGGACUGAGACACGGCCCAGACUCCUACGGGAGGCAGCAGUAGGGAAUUUUCCACAAUGGGCGAAAGCCUGAUGGAGCAACGCCGCGUGCAGGAUGAAGGCCUUAGGGUUGUAAACUGCUUUUAUAUGUGACGAUUAUGACGGUAGCAUAUAGAAUAAGGAUCGGCUAACUCCGUGCCAGCAGCCGC